rnacentral:lncRNA from 1 species
UGGAAAUAACCACUAAAAUCCAUUUAUAUGACUUCCAUGUGAAGGCUAUUCCAGCAAAUUCAGUCAUUAAUAUGGCAUCGUUGGGAUCAAAUAAAGAUCCAAUAUCAUUACAUCAUAUCAUGGUCAUAUCUUCUAUUUCCUGAUGGAAAUAUCCAAGAUUUACUGUAAUCUUCAGAUAUAAGAUGAUGUUACUUAUAUCAACCAUAUACCUUUUGUUGGGGGUUGCACUCUGAAUAAAGAUAGCAAAUAUAGUGUCAGGCCUGACGUAGUUUGGAAGUAUAUGAAUGCUUUGACAUUAGUGAUAUACACAACUUCAGGUCCUAGUAUCACUUCAUUAUCACCCCUAGGUAUGAAUGGAUUUGUACCUUAUCAAAGGUAGUAUGACCAUACAUGUCUUUUAUUGAUAUGAUAUAUCCAAAUUGAACUUCUCGUAUAUGUUUGGAUAUAUGUAGACUGAUAUGUAUUCUUGAGAGAAUGCUCAAGUUGUAAACUUAAGCUAAAUUUGGUUAAAUCCAAAUUUUCCGUCUUGAGAUGAUUUUGUGUAUGUUUAGGUCUUGUAGAGACAUUGAUGAUGAAAUCAUCGAUUUACACUGAGGUGAUAUAAGGAAUUCAAAUUUGGGAUACCUUUAUUAACACGUAAAUAAUUUAUCAUCCUUUGAGUAAUCUUUUGAAGAAGGAACUCAUUUAGUCGGUAGUACCAUAUGAUUUCCGACUAUUUCAAGCCAUAGAGUGACUUCUGAAAUUUUUACACAUAUAUGUUGCGAUUUAUUUUGGAUUCGGAAUUGUAAGCCCUUGAGGUACUUCGUUAUAAAUUUACGAAAUGAGUAACCCAUAUGAGUAUGUAGUCACUUCAUCCAUUAACUACAUGGAUAAUAUUAUUUGUACUGCCAAUGAUAUUUGUUAUGGAAACUUAAUUCCACUCAUACCAAGAGGGUAUGUUACAUCAUAAUUUGAUGUCGGGUCUCUGCGUGAACCCUUUUGCUAUAAGCCUCGCUUUCUCACCACCUCAUUGAAUUUGUCUAUGAAUGAGAAGUUUUUAGUAUUCCAUAUGGAAGAUACUUAUGAGGAGUAGGUAUUACUGUGGUAAAUACCACUCGUUUGUAGAGCGAGGCUAUUCUUCAUUACUUGCUUCCUUUUAUGUGAACCAAUAUGAGUGCAAGAGGCACUCUACCAUGGAUUCUGGUUCAGGGCCCAAAAGGUUUUAGCAAUUUUGAGAAUAAAUAUAUGUCGACAAAUGUAGUCUUUAUUUUAUAUGAUUCUGAUGGAAUCGAUGAAAUUUGUGGAAAUGUAUUUAUUCCUUUUAACUCCUUGUGAUUUCCUACAACAAUGGAGUCAAGGUGUUCCGAUCUCCCGACACAAAAACAUUUGUGCACAUUUAUGUCAGGAUUUGGAUGAUGAGCAUCCAGUGAGGUGUCUUUUAACUUGAUGUUGAAUUACAUUUACUAGUUGAGGAUUUGAUUUCCUCUAUUUCCGCGGAAGCAUAUGCGAGAUUAUAUCUCAUGUGGUCAGAUUUCUCCCCCUCUUGCUCUCAUUUUGGGAGAAGAGUGGUUUAUCAGGUACCUCCACUCUUUCUGACACUUUACUGCAGGAAUAUAAAAUUGAGUGACACCUUUGUCAUCAGUAAAUGUAUGUGGCAGAUUUGCAAUAUGUUGCAAAUAUGUGAUUCUAAACUUCUUGUUCAGAUUCUUUGAGUACGUGGAUAUAAGGACUGAAUGUGAAUAACAUUCCUAAUUUAUUUCUUGGCAUUCCUUGUGGUACUUAUCUCCCCCUAAUGCCAGAAAUGUCCUUAUUGCUGAUGCAAUCAGCAUACGGGCUAUGAAUAAUUUUGAUUGACGGAUAAAUUGUCAUUCCUCACUUAGAUCCCUAAAUUUCUGUGUGAGCCCAUUGAUGUAUGCUGGAGUGGUGAUAUAGGUAUGUAACCGAAUUAUCGCAGAUAGGAAAUACUUUGUUGAUUUCCACGUAAUUACUAAAAGGGGAAAGUAGUAUGCUAUGCAGUUGGUAUGAUUUUAUAUCAUACUUACGGUGUGUAAUGCCGUAUUUGUCUAGCAUGAGGCUAGUAAAUCAUGAUUCUAUAAGUUUGGUCAUAUUAUUAAUUUCACUAUCUUUGAUAAGAUAUUGAACUAAACCAUUUUGGGUAUGUACAUAAAGUAUUAUAUAUAAUCAGAUAUUUCUUGUGAAAUGAGUUCAACAAAGUUGUCCAUUCGAAUGGAUUUAUCCCUUGUUUAGGAUAAUUUUCUCUUACUUUGAGAAUUUGAGCAAUUGAUUUAGUUAUAUCAUUCAUGGUUUGUGUGACAAGAGACACACCAGAAAUCAUUUUAUAAAUGUUUCCAUGAGUACCAUAAAGUAUCUAUAAAAUACCACACAAUGGUUGAGAAUGCACAUAUCUUCUCAAUGUGUUCAAGGAAGAAUGAGUUGGCUCAUUUAGAAUUAUAAGGCGAGAGUUCCUUAAAUUAAUUUUCCUUAUGGCACAUGUGGUGCACAUAAAAUCUGAUGAUUUGGGAAAUUUUGCAACUUGUUAAGUUGUGACCAAUAGAAUUAUCAAUAAUUUUCUAAACAACCCCAAACCUGGAUUGUAAGGCUUAAAACCAAAUAUUUUGUAAGAUUUAGAAAAUUAUUGUGUACGUAACAAAACUGAGUAUGAAUUGAUUCAUACAUGCAAAAAUUAUCAAAUAUAGUGUCCAGGAAAUAGGAUAUUGGACAUUUAUACUACAUUUAGUAGUACGACUAUAGGCAAACAAUAUUCUGGGAAUAAUCGGGAUAUUACAUGAGGUCUCCCAUAUUACGGAAAAAUGAGUUAUGCAAACAUAUCAUAGGCACAAACGAAUUGAUCAUUCUUUUAUUGCACUAUAUUUGGGGGGGGUUCUCCUUCUCAUGAAGAUUCGAGAACAUCAUUUACCAGAAUAGUUUCUGGUCGUAUGUUUGCAAAUUUUCAAAUACCACAAUGAACUUAUUUGCCUUUUAAUAAACUCAUGGUUUGGUUUGACCAUAUGUUUGAGGGUUUGGUAAUCAUAGGUACGAUAUUCAUGUAACCACGCAUUUGACAAACUUGAGAGUUCUCUUUGUAAUCUUUUUAAAAUGAUCAAUUACUAAUUAAAAGGUAAUUAUGUCAUUGGUUGUAUUUAUCCUCCACUUUACUUUGAAUGCCUCAUUGUUCUAUUUUGUGACCACUGACAUGCAUAGUAUUCUCAAUGCUAGCAAAUAUUUGAAGCACCCGUUGGAUGAAUAUGAUGAGUUUAAGAAAUAACAUGUUUCUUUACCAUGAAAAUGGUAAUACCAUCAUAAGAAGAUGUAAAGUGUAUCAAGGGCUUUUCAACCUGAUCUGCAUAUCAAAAUGUCAGAUCAUGAGAUCUCAACUUCAAGUUGAUUUUAUAAUUACCAAAAUUGUAAGUUGCGAUAGACUUGAGGUCUUGAAAAAUUAUUGGGUGAUCAUUCCAAAUGUGCUCGGGGCAACGUAUUUCUCUUAAGGGAAAUAUUCAAGGUGAAUAAAUAUUCAUCCAUUAUGUACUUAGUUUGAGAACUAAGUGAAGUUGGUGAGACAUGAAAUACAUAUGAACAUACUUAGUUCUUAAGAGAAUAGCCAUGACACAUAUUCCAAAGGUGAGGUUAUAGUAGCAAUAAUACCUCGGGGUGGAUACAACGACUGAUGUCGUAAAUCAUCUUACAAUAAAUAAUCUCACCUAACAUGUACUUACUGUAUUUGGAAAUGUGAGCCACGCGUUACUUGAAAAUGCUAAUGCAUUUAUUUAAUUUACUUCUAGGAGUAAGUGGCAUCUAUAAAUAAAUGAUUUGUUUGAGAACAAUCAUGGUCAAGGUGAUCUUUGGUGAACCUGGGGUAUCCUUCAAUAUAACACACGUGAAUAAAUUAUUGCUAAUGUUUUGGACUUCAUUCUUGAGGAAGUGUGUGACUUUAGAGUCACUGCCAAAACAUAUAGACUUGCAUGCUUAACAUUGGUUAGUCACUAUGAAAUUAUAACCACGAUGUCCUGUGGACCUUGCGAAAGUGUUGAGACACUUAAUCAUUGUCAUAAAUUAUGUGGUCCAUCUUGAUGGAUGGACGACACUAUAAUUAGAAAUAUUGUCAUAUGCUUCAUUGCCAUGUAUUUUACCAAUGUAAUAGAAGGUAAUCACAAGUAAAUGCAAAUAUUUGUGUAGUUCCCUAUGACAUAUUCAAGCAAAAAGAGGCUUGAAUAAUUGAUAUUGGUAGAUAAUACCAUUCAACAUGCAAUAAUCAUGCAUGAAUUUACUAUGAUAGUAAAUCAUUUUAGUAAACAACAACAAUUGCUUCACAGGAGCAAAUUUUAGUAUGGCUGAUGCCAUAUAGCCAUAUGUGUAGACCUCAAUUUAUAUAGGAUAACACUUUAAAGAUAAUCACCAAUAUGGUGUAGAUCUCGCAGUAAUAGAAAACAUAGUCUGACUAUUGUCAGUAGAUGUUUAUAAUUCUAUUACCUUAUGUUAUCUAGAGGUAGUCACAUAUUAAUAUUUGGAAGGGCACUUUGAAGGUAAUCAUCUUGUAAAACACAAGAUAUAGACCUCAUAAUAGUGAUGAAUAAUCUACGAAUUAUGCAGUAGAUGUCAUCAGUACCUUGUAAUUCACAAAUAAAAAUUUAGAUGCCGCCAUAUCAAGUAUGAGACUACGUAAUCCUUGUUUGGAAUUACAAUAAGAUUUGCAAAAAUUAAAAUUAAUUGCAAAAAUAUAGUUGUUCUCCUAAAACACAUGUCUUAGGAAUUGUUUGGGGCAAAGACAUAUAUAUUGUCUUAAAUUCCGAAGGAAUAGAUGCACGUAAAACAUUCUUUUGCAUUUAGUAUUAGUGUGGUAAUACAUUCAGAUGCAGAACUUAAUAAUUCACAUAUUUAUGUAAAAUAUGAAGACAUGAGGCUUCACAUGAUAUUUUACAAGAUGUAAAAUGAUGUAUUUUAUGCAACCUCCGAAGACCCCCACGGCCUAAAAUAUGUAUUUGUUUUAAAGCUGAGGCUUUAUAUAAAUAUAAAUAAUAAUAACCUGAGCCUCGGUCUGAACCGUAAAGUCUAGUAUGAUGGCUCGUUUCAUAACAUUCAUUAAGCCAGAGGGCUUAAUCGCAAAGAUCUGUUAAUCCAUGGGUUCAACAAAAAAAAUGCAGAAACUUAUUUGUGAUUAUGAGAAACCACAAGGGCUGAAGUGAAAACACCCAAAGAGAUAAGGUUCUCUUCUUUUUUCUCUCCAGAGCGAUUCCUCACGGGAAUUUCUCCCGUAACUGCCGCGACCGUCCAAGGACGGCGCCGCAAGGACAGGCGGCGGCUCAGCGCACCGCUUGUGAGCCCGAGCGCUGCGGGGCUCUAUGCGCUGGAGCGGUCGAUCGACGGCAAGCGCGGCGAGGGCGGAGGGCNNNNNNNNNNNNNNNNNNNNNNNNNNNNNNNNNNNNNNNNNNNNNNNNNNNNNNNNNNNNNNNNNNNNNNNNNNNNNNNNNNNNNNNNNNNNNNNNNNNNNNNNNNNNNNNNNNNNNNNNNNNNNNNNNNNNNNNNNNNNNNNNNNNNNNNNNNNNNNNNNNNNNNNNNNNNNNNNNNNNNNNNNNNNNNNNNNNNNNNNNNNNNNNNNNNNNNNNNNNNNNNNNNNNNNNNNNNNNNNNNNNNNNNNNNNNNNNNNNNNNNNNNNNNNNUGGUCGUGUCCCGCGAGCGGAGCGCGGCGCACGGACGAGUGCGGGGCGCGGCGCGGCAGCCUGGCUGACGGAGGCACGGCGGACGGUCAUGGCUUUGCGAUGCCGGGCGUUUCGUCACGCUAAGGAAGAACAAUGAUGCAGGAGUUCGUGUGUCCUAGACGAUAUAACUGAUUGGGUUGAAAUCGCUAACGUCGGAGCGAUGUUGUGGUUUCUUCAAUCCUUGCGUUGAUCAUGUCCGUGAGAUCUCCAUGCUCCAAGUUGAUGCAUGCCGAAUCAACAACAAAGUUGAUUAAAAUACCCAUUUGUUUAAUCAAAUCAGGAACAAGACAAAUGGAGUGUAGCGUGCAGUGAUCCAUCAGGAUGAUUGAUUCUUGUAGAUGGAUUGAUCCCGUUCUUGAAACUUCUUCAUCUUCGGUCCAUCACACGUUGAUGGAGAGGAAGGUGCCUUCCGUUGGGAUCGUCGCAGUCUGUGGGAAUGGCGAGGCUACGCCCGUGCGUCUGCCAGCGAGGGGGCCUCGUCAUGUAGCGGCCGAUGGUCGUCUCCUUCGUCGUUCUGUGUCGCCUAAUCGCUUUGGUAGACAAAAGUGCUGAUAACGUGUUAGAGUAAAACGAGAUUGAAUGAAAGUGAAUGGACAAUUAGUCCUCUUUCUAUUGAUUCUCAAGUAUAUAUACAUCUGGAAAAGGUGUGAAGAAAAGGUGUCUGUUCGGAGACAUCCCUCCAGAACAGGUGCCUGUUGUCAAUAGACACAAAGAAGAGACACGACUGUUCGGUUUGAACAUAUCCCUUAAAUUAAUCUAUUAAUUAAUUUCUAACGGUAGCUAGCAAAAGCUAGACCGUACGUACACGCGGAGACAAACUAAUCAGGAGCGAGGAAGCAAGAAAGAAGAUGGCUCGGGCCGACAUGACAGCCAGCCUGCUCAAUCGCCGGCCGGCCGGCAGGGUCGCUGGACCGGUUGGUGGCGCAAACCGGUCGGUCUAACCGGCCGACCCGAUCAAAAGGCGGCAAUCAGCCAGCCUAGCUGCACUGCUUCUUAAUCUGGUGGAGCCACCGGAGAUUAAUGCCGUUGUUAAGAUUGCUUGGAAUCGGAGAACUGGGCAAACACGCACGUGUUCACAUGUGGCUGCACGUGUUUCGGGCUGUUUCGUGAGGCGAAGGAAGCGACUAGACUGUGGUGUUUUGACUUUCGAGUAUAGAACGAGAGGCAAAACGUGGAGAUAUAAUCGAUUACAAGUAUAUUCCUUUCUCUGUUUUUAAAUAUAAGUCUUUAUAAAGAUUUUAUUAGAAGACUACAUAUAAAGCAAAAUGAUUAAAUUUUUAUUUAAAAUAUGUUUAUAUACAAUCUUUAUGUUGUUUCUUAGUGAACCCAUUAAAAAGACUUUUAUUCAUAAUUUUGAGGGAUGCAUUCAACAAAUGUCAUAGUCCGAAGAAACACAAGUGAACAGCCGUGUUUUUAGUGCACCAUGGUUAUAAAAAUGGUUUCAGAGGAGUAGAGGAGUAGGUAGGAUGGAAACACUCGAAUGUCCCAUAAAAAUGAUGCAUUUUUAUGGGACAUUCGAGUGUUUCCAUCCUACCUACUCCUCUCGAUUUACUAAUGCAAAACUUGAAAAUAAUAAUCAAACAUACCUGCUCCUCCGAAUCCCCAUCUACUAGCUUGUCAUCCCCAUCUGUUGUUACUGAUAGAGAUGUUGGUCGGGAGCUACAGCUGCCU